rnacentral:rRNA from 1 species
CUUAAGUGGGGAAUAACGCAUCGAAAGUUGCGCUAAUACCGCAUAUUCUCUAAGGAGGAAAGUGGGGGCUCGCAAGACCUCAUGCUUUUAGAGCGGCCGAUAUCUGAUUAGCUAGUUGGUAAGGUAAAAGCUNACCAAGGCAUCGAUCAGUAGCUGGUCUGAGAGGACGACCANNCCACACUGGGACUGAGGACACGGNCCANACUCCUACGCNNAGGCACAGCAGGUGGGGAAUNUUGGACAAUGGGGGCAACCCUGAUCCAGCGAUGCCGCGUGGGUGAAGAAGGCCUUCGGGUUGUAAAGCCCUUUAGGUCGGGAAGAAGUUUAGAUGGGGAUAAUCCAUUUAGAUUGACGGUACCGACAGAAUAAGCACCGGCAAACUCUGUGCCAGCAGCCGCGGUAAUACAGAGGGUGCGAGCGUUAAUCGGAGUUACUGGGCGCAAAGGGCGCGUAGGCGGUUGUAUGGGUGUGAUGUGAAAGCCCUGGGCUUAACCUGGGAAGUGCAUCGCAAACUAUACAGCUAGAGUACAAGAGAGGGUGGCGGAAUUUCCGGUGUAGCGGUGAAAUGCGUAGAGAUCGGAAGGAACGUCAAUGGCGAAGGCAGCCACCUGGCUUGAUACUGACGCUGAAGCGCGAAAGCGUGGGGAGCGAACAGGAUUAGAUACCCUGGUAGUCCACGCUGUAAACGAUGAGAACUAGAUGUUGGUAGGGGAACCUAUCAGUAUCGAAGCUAACGCGAUAAGUUUUCCGCCUGGGAAGUACGGCCGCAAGGUUGAAACUCAAAGGAAUUGACGGGGGCCCGCACAAGCGGUGGAGCAUGUGGUUUAAUUCGAUGCAACGCGAAGAACCUUACCUACCCUUGACAUCCUGUGAAUCUGGCUUAGUAGCUGGAGUGCCGAAAGGAACACAGAGACAGGUGCUGCAUGGCUGUCGUCAGCUCGUGUUGUGAGAUGUUGGGUUAAGUCCCGUAACGAGCGCAACCCUUGUCCUUAGUUACCAGCAUUUAGUUGGGGACUCUAAGGAGACUGCCGGUGAUGAACCGGAGGAAGGCGGGGACGACGUCAAGUCAUCAYGGCCUUUAUGGGUAGGGCUUCACACGUAA